rnacentral:rRNA from 1 species
AGGGUGCGAGCGUUAAUCGGAAUUACUGGGCGUAAAGCGUGCGCAGGCGGGCUUUUAAGCCAGACGUGAAAUCCCCGGGCUUAACCUGGGAAUGGCGUUUGGGACUGGGAGUCUGGAGUACGGCAGAGGAGACUGGAAUUCCUGGUGUAGCAGUGAAAUGCGUAGAUAUCUGGAGGAACACCGGUGGCGAAGGCGGCAUCCUGGACCGGUAUUGACGCUGAGGAGCGAAAGCCAGGGGAGCAAACGGG